UGCGUAGGCGGCGUGGAAAGUUGGGUGUGAAAUCCCUCGGCUUAACCGAGGAACUGCGCCCAAAACUGUCAUGCUCGAGGAAGAUAGAGGUAAGCGGAACUUACGGUGGAGCGGUGAAAUGCGUUGAUAUCGUAAGGAACACCCGUGGCGAAAGCGGCUUACUGGGUUCUUUUCUGACGCUGAUGCACGAAAGCUAGGGGAAGGCAAACG
rnacentral:rRNA from 1 species